rnacentral:rRNA from 1 species
AUUGAACGCUGGCGGAAUGCUUUACACAUGCAAGUCGAACGGUAGAGGGGGCAACCCCUCGAGAGUGGCGAACGGGUGAGUAAUAUAUCGGAACGUGCCCAGUCGUGGGGGAUAACGUAGCGAAAGUUACGCUAAUACCGCAUACGAUCUAAGGAUGAAAGCGGGGGAUCGCAAGACCUCGCGCGAUUGGAGCGGCCGAUAUCAGAUUAGGUAGUUGGUGGGGUAAAGGCUCACCAAGCCAACGAUCUGUAGCUGGUCUGAGAGGACGACCAGCCACACUGGAACUGAGACACGGUCCAGACUCCUACGGGAGGCAGCAGUGGGGAAUUUUGGAGAAUGGACGCAAGUCUGGUCCAGCCAUUCCGCGUGCAGGAUGAAGGCCCUCGGGUUGUAAACUGCUUUUGUACGGAACGAAAAGGUCUCUCUUAAUACGGGGGACUCAUGACGGUACCGUAAGAAUAAGCACCGGCUAACUACGUGCCAGCCGCCGCGGUAACAC